UGAGUGUUUUGCAUAGAAAUCUUCUUUGUCAAGGCACUCUUCAGAUUCUCUAGAUCAAGCUACCAUCAUGGAGCUUCAAAACCCUUUUUCGAAUAUCAUCUUCAUGCUCUCCUUUCUCAUCCUCUUAGUUCUAUUCAAAAUAGUUCAAAGAUGGAGUUUUAACAAUUCCACUACCAAAUUGCCACCAGGACCAUGGAAACUACCCCUCAUAGGAAACUUACAUCAGAUUAUCAGCAGAUCAUUGCCCCAUCACCUCUUCAAAAAGUUGGCAGAAAAAUAUGGACCUUUGAUGCACCUUAAACUAGGAGAGGUACCAUAUGUAAUAGUUAGUUCACCAGAAAUGGCAAAAGAGGUUAUGAAAACACAUGACCUUACAUUUUGUGAUAGGCCAAACCUUCUUUUGUCAACAAUAUGGAGUUACAAUGCUACAAAUAUUGUCUUCGCUACAUACUGUGAACAUUGGAGGCAAGUACGAAAGAUAUGUGUUAUAGAGCUAUUAAGUGCAAAGCGUGUCCAAUCAUUUAGGUCCAUAAGAGAAGAUGAAGUGACAAAUCUUGUUAAAUCAAUAACUGCAAGUGAAGGAUCGGUUGUAAAUCUCACUCGGAAGAUUUUCUCAAUGACAAAUGGGAUAACAGCGCGGGCAGCUUUUGGGAAAAGGAAUAGAAACCAAGAUGUGUUCAUAUCAGCAAUGGAGAAAGUAUUGGUGCUAUUAGGAGGAUUUGAAAUUGCAGAUUUGUAUCCUUCUAUUAAAAUGCUUCAAUGCAUGAGUAGGGAGAAGACCAAAAUGGAAAAAAUUCAUAGAGAGCUUGAUAUGAUAAUGCAAGACAUCAUCGACGAUCACAGAAGCAUUCACAAGGAAGCAAGCAACGAUGAAGAUCUAGUAGAUGUUCUUCUCAAGAUUCAACAGGAAAAUUAUUACUCAGAACAUCCUUUAACCGAUGACAAUAUGAAAUCAAUCAUCCAGGUUAGUCUAAAACCAAAAGUGGUAGCAAGUUUAUUUCACAAUUUAAAAACUAGUUUAUAAAUUUGCAUAGCUUAGAAGUCUGAUUUCUAGAGGAAAAAUAAUUAGGAUUAUCUUGAUUAAUAAUAGUAAUUUGGAGAGAACAUCAAAUUAAUGACUUAACUUUUGGGUAGCGUUGUACGUAAUGUUAAUGUUAAUCCAUUUGUAGGAUAUGUUCAUUGCUGGUACCGAAACAUCGUCAGAGGUAUUGUUAUGGGCGAUGUCUGAGAUGGUAAAGAACCCAAAGGUAUUGGAAGAAGCACAGAUUGAAGUAAGAAGAGUGUUUGAUAAAAAGGGGUAUGUGGAUGAGUCAGAGUUGCACCAAUUGAUAUACUUAAAGUCUGUCGUCAAAGAAACAUUGAGGUUACAUCCCGUUGCACCAUUGUUAAUUCCAAGAGAAAGUAUGAAGCCAUGCCAAAUUAAUGGGUAUGAAAUCCCAGCUAAGACAAGGGUAAUGGUUAAUGCUUGGGCUAUUGGAAGAGAUUCAAGGUAUUGGGUUGAAGCUGAGAGUUUUAAACCUGAGAGGUUUGUUAAUAGCACAAUUGAAUUCAAAGGCACGGACUUCGAAUUCAUACCAUUUGGUGCUGGAAGGAGGAUGUGUCCCGGAAUUGCAUUUGCCCUACCAAACAUUGAGCUACCUCUUGCUCAAUUACUUUGCCACUUUGAUUGGAAGCUUCCCAAUAAAAUGAAGAAUGAAGAACUAGAUAUGACCGAGUCAUUUGGGAUUACUGUAGGAAGAAAGCACGAUCUAUGUUUAAUUCCUAUUACUCGUCGUCUUUAAUAUGUAUUUUCUAAGCAAACAAGUUCAGAACGAUGUUCCUUAUAAAAUUUAUGUAUGAUAUUUGUACCACAAAUAUAGAAAUAUUUGUCAAGCAUUGCAUUUGGUUUAGCCUCUUGCUGAAUUAUUUUAUGAAUUUGAUUGAAAGCUUCCCAAUGGAAUGAAUAAUGAAGAACUUGAUAUGAUUGAGAGUCAUUUGGGCUUACAGUCCAAAGAAAACACGACCCAUAUGUUUGGUUCCUAUUACUGGUCGUCUACGAUAUUUAUAUUGUCUAAGCAAACAAGUUCACAAUGUGGUUAGUUUUCUUAUACUACUUUCAGCAAGGUGUAUGAAUCGUUGUUGAUUUUUUUUUUUUUUUUAAGAUUCUACGUUUGACAUUAGUUAGAUAUUCAAUUUAGUUCUUCUUAAGUUAAUCAGUUUGUUCCAACUCCUUCAUCAAAUCAACAUAUGCUAAAGCAUUUGCAUUAUUUUGCACGCCUAUUUUAGUAGGUUUAAUUUGUAAGGAUUAAGAUUUCUUUCUUUAUCUCUCUCUUGGUUUUCUGCGUAGGACCAGGAGAAUGAUGCAACAAAUUUAGGGUAUACUGAAUUUCAUUUAAAAAAUGUACAUCCGGAAAAUGUACAUCCGAUAUGUAAUUAUCGGAUGUGUAUUUAGGGUCUAAGAGAUAUUAGGGGACCUAAAGAGAAAUGUUCGAAAUAUUUUGUGCUUUAGAAAGAGGGAAAAAAGAGACAUGAUUAGGCACAAUUUUUUUCAAGAUUUAAUUCUUAAUAUUAUAAGAUGUAUAUGGCGAACAUGCCGGUUUUUGUUCUUCUUUGCAGUUUUUUUAUAAAUUUUUAUUUACACUAUUAUAAAUAUAUCUUUCAUCCAUUGAUCACAAACCACAGUCCUUCUUUUCUUCAAAAAAAAAAAAAAAACGAAACAAACCACGGUCCUUCUUACUCAUCAGUACAUUUUUCUCAUAUCAUAAUUCUCUCUACUUUCAUAUUCUCUAUCAUGUCUUCUCCUUCUCCUCCGCUAAAAACCAUUAAUCAAUUCGAUCAUAUAAAAAAAACCUUUUGAAACAUAUAUAUCUUCAAAAAAAGCAUUAAGAGGGUUGAAGAAUCAACUCAACAAUUUUUUUAUUUAGCUAACGAUCUUACUUGAAAGGUGACUCAUAUUUAUUAUGGGGAGCCUUUGAUCUCAUUGGCAUCUAAUAAACAUUUUGAUUACUAUCGUGAAUAUAAACUACUUGAGACUAACACGGAAGUACAAGACAUGUUUGCGGAACAAGAGUUUGGAUUGAGUGGUGAUACAUGUACCACCCCAUGUGGCAAUACACCCUUUACACCCAUACAAAAUUCUGACACGUGGCAACCUGGACCCCACACAAAUAGAAGAUAAAGUGUGGUUGUGAGAUGAACUUACCAAAAUAUCCCUAAUACAUAGGGUGUAUAAUGAGGUGUAUGAAUAAAGGGUGUUCAUGUAACAUUUUCCGUUUGGAUUAGAACCGCUUUUUUUGUACGUUAAGUCUGAGUAGAUUAUGAUAAGUAUCUACAAUUAACUUAUGUCAUGUUUGUUUAUCUAAUUUAAUGUAUUUGUAUCUUAGCGCAUUAUCUUCAUGUUGUAAUAAGUUUUUCAAUGAAAUUGCAUUCCUCAUUUAUUCUACAUUGUCUAUUAAUGUGUUUAAUUAACAUAAUAAAAAUUAACGAUAGAGAUGAGUUAAACGAUAAUAAUAACUAUAUGAAGAUAAUUUAAAAUAAAAUAAAAUAGAAAGUAAAUUUAAUAUUGGUAUGAGGAAAAUUCGUGCGAAUAUGACUGUUUUGCUGACACAAUCUACAUUUUCUCGGUGUUUUUUCCACAACAUCCAUUUUAGUCCAAAUACGAAUAUUGUUUGGUCGACCAUUCUUUAGUAUUUGUAUGGCGGGUUUGUGGCAAAGCUUGGGACCUUCAUGUGGGGGACAAUAACUCGUAUCGUGGACUAUUUCGAACCUUGUAUUAUGGGUGGCGUAUAGACUCUCGUUUAAACUUAUGUAUAAUGGUUCGGUAGUCAUGAUGAAAGCUAGAACAUGUGGCUAUAAUAUUAGAGCAAGGCAUAUAUGUAAAGCUUGAAAUUUCUCAUAGUCACACAACUCUGCUUACACGUCUACCUUGAAAGAUCUCAUUGACCUUCCCUCCCUAUAUUUGAUUGUUUCACAGACAGAGAAAGUAUAUAUCUAUCGAUCAAAUCAAUCAACUUGAUGAGGGUUGAACUUACCCACGACUUCCCGAAUCACCUUCAUACAGUAUUUCGUAAAUGGCAUAACCCACCCUUACAUACGCCUCAUGUCAUGUGCUCCCUUCAUAGUAGGUUGAUUGAACAAGAGCUGUGUUAUAAAUCCAAUGAACUUUCCAGCACGAUUUUAAAAAAAUAUAUAUAUUUAAACUAUUGAGAGCUCAACAAAGCAGCAAUAAGAAAAGGAAGAAGGAUCCCACGAAUUUGAAAGACAUUUUUGUAUUGUUUGACGUUCACAUGACACCAAAAAUAGCACAAAAAGCACCUUACCCUUUUCUCGAAACCAGUCUACUACCAAAAAUAGCACAAAUAGCACAAGGAAUAGUGGAUGAUUAUUUCAUGUGGAUAAUACAAAAAAUAUAAUUCCACAAAAAAAAAAAAAAAAAGUUUUCUAAACCGCAAAUUAUUAAUAUGAUGUCUGUUCUUGACUUCCAAAGUUUUCUAAAAUGUUCAUAUAAAAAAAAUAAAAAAAUUUCUAAGUAUUUUGAUUUAGCGAUAUGCUUCUUGUGUAGUGGUUGUUUUAUUUUGACUCCACAAAGUACACCUUAUUCUUCAGUGUGUCUUUUUAUUUAAUUAUUUUGGAUUGGAUGGUAUCAAUAUUUUUAAUUAUACGUGCUUUAGGUGUAUUGGAGGAUAUCAUCCAAUGAGGAGCACCUAUUUUUGACCACACAAAGCACACCUUAUCCUUCAUGUGUGUCUUUAUUAAAAUGCUUUGCAAAUAUAUAAAAAUAUUAACAACAGGCACGUUGGUUGGUGCAAGGAGAAAAUGUUAUUAAUAAAUAAUAUUUCUUUACAUUGGAACGUGUAUCUUAAUGUUAAUACUGUAUUGAUUUUAUAUUAGUAUUUGUUGCGUAUUAAUUAACAUGUCUGCAUUGUAUAGAAAUUGCAAGUGAUCUAAUUUUGAGUGUUUUGCAUAGAAACCUUCUUUGUCAACAAGGCCUUUGGAUUCUUUAGAUCAAACAACCAACAUGGAGCUUCAAAACCCUUUUUCGAAUAUCAUCUUCAUGCUCUCCUUUCUCAUCCUCUUAGUGCUAUUCAAAAUAGUUCAAAGAUGGAGUUUUAACAAUUCCACUACCAAAUUGCCACCAGGACCAUGGAAACUACCCCUCAUAGGAAACAUACACCAGAUUAGUGGCAGCUCACCCCCCCAUCACCUCUUCAAAAAAUUGGCAGAAAAAUAUGGACCUUUGAUGCACCUUAAACUAGGAGAGGUACCAUAUGUAGUAGUUAGUUCACCAGAAAUGGCAAAAGAGAUUAUGAAAACACAUGACAUCACAUUUUGUGAUAGGCCAAAUGUUCUUUUACCUAGAGUAUUUACUUACAAUGCUAGAGAUAUUGCUUUCUCUACAUACGGAGAACUUUGGAGACAAUUACGAAAGAUAUGUGUUGUAGAGCUAUUAAGUGCAAAACGUGUCCAAUCUUUUAGUUUCAUAAGAGAAGAAGAGGUGUCCGAUCUUGUUAAAUCAAUAU
rnacentral:lncRNA from 1 species